rnacentral:rRNA from 1 species
UACGUAGGGUGCAAGCGUUACUCGGAAUUACUGGGCGUAAAGCGUGCGCAGGCGGUUAUGUAAGACAGUUGUGAAAUCCCCGGGCUCAACCUGGGAACUGCAUCUGUGACUGCCUAGCUAGAGUACGGUAGAGGGGGAUGGAAUUCCGCGUGUAGCAGUGAAAUGCGUAGAUAUGCGGAGGAACACCGAUGGCGAAGGCAAUCCCCUGGACCUGUACUGACGCUCAUGCACGAAAGCGUGGGGAGCAAACAGG